GGGGUUGUGGCUCAGAGGUAGAGCACUUGCCUACCAUGCAUGAAGCACUGGGCUCAAUCCCCAGCUCCA
rnacentral:tRNA from 1 species